AUUGAACGCUGGCGGCAGGCCUAACACAUGCAAGUCGAGCGAGCGGCGGACGGGUGAGUAAUGUAUGUGGACUGCCCGCUCGAUGGGGAUCACUACUUGACACGGUUGCUAAUACCGCCUACUCUCGUAUACCCCAGAUGGGAUUAGCUAGUAGGUGGUGUAAAGGCUCACCUAGGCGACGCUCUCUAGCUGGUCUGAGAGGAUGAUCAGCCACAAUGGGAAUGAGACACGGCCCAGACUCCUACGGAGGGAGCAGUGGGGAAUAUUGAACAAUGGGCGCAAGCCUGAUGCAGCCAUGCCGGGUGUAUGAAGAAGGCCUUAGGGUUGUAAAGUACGUUCAGAGGGGAGGCGUUACCCGCAGAAGAAGCACAGGCUAACUCCGUGCCAGCACCCGCGGUAAUAC
rnacentral:rRNA from 1 species